rnacentral:rRNA from 1 species
CGUUGCGGCAGUCUAAUACUGCAAGUCGAGCGGUCCCUUCGGGGGCAGCGGCGGACGGGUGAGUAACGCGUGGGAACGUGCCCUUUGGUACGGAACAACUGAGGGAAACUUCAGCUAAUACCGUAUGUGCCCUUCGGGGGAAAGAUUUAUCGCCAUUGGAGCGGCCCGCGUUAGAUUAGCUAGUUGGUAGGGUAAAGGCCUACCAAGGCGACGAUCUAUAGCUGGUCUGAGAGGAUGAUCAGCCACACUGGGACUGAGACACGGCCCAGACUCCUACGGGAGGCAGCAGUAGGGAAUCUUGCGCAAUGGGCAAAAGCCUGACGCAGCCAUGCCGCGUGAAUGAUGAAGGUCUUAGGAUUGUAAAAUUCUUUCACCGGGGACGAUAAUGACGGUACCCGGAGAAGAAGCCCCGGCUAACUUCGUGCCAGCAGCCGCGGUAAUACGAAGGGGGCUAGCGUUGCUCGGAAUUACUGGGCGUAAAGGGAGCGUAGGCGGAUAGUUUAGUCAGAGGUGAAAGCCCAGGGCUCAACCUUGGAAUUGCCUUUGAUACUGGCUAUCUUGAGUAUGGAAGAGGUAUGUGGAACUCCGAGUGUAGAGGUGAAAUUCGUAGAUAUUCGGAAGAACACCAGUGGCGAAGGCGACAUACUGGUCCAUUACUGACGCUGAGGCUCGAAAGCGUGGGGGAGCAAACAGGAUUAGAUACCCUGGUAGUCCACGCCGUAAACGAUGAGUGCUAGUUGUCGGCAUGCAUGCAUGUCGGUGACGCAGCUAACGCAUUAAGCACUCCGCCUGGGGAGUACGGUCGCAAGAUUAAACUCAA